UUCAGAACCGUGGAACCUCUGGAGUAUUACAGGAGAUUUCUGAAAGAGAACUGCCGUCCUGAUGGAAGAGAACUUGGUGAAUUCAGAACCACAACUGUCAACGUAGGUUCAAUUAGUACCGCAGAUGGUUCUGCUUUAGUGAAGUUGGGAAAUACUACAGUAAUCUGUGGAGUUAAAGCAAUGAGGUUCAGUAACUAGUCCAGUAGCUUCUUUCAAUAAGAAACAUUUCUUUGCUACUAUAGGAAUUUGCAGCACCACCAACAGAUGCCCCUGAUACAGGAUAUGUUGUUCCUAAUGUGGAUCUACCACCCCUGUGUUCAUCGAGAUUCCGGUCUGGACCUCCUGGAGAAGAGGCCCAAGUGGCUAGCCAAUUCAUUGCAGAUGUCAUUGAAAAUUCACAGAUAAUUCAGAAAGAGGACUUAUGCAUUUCUCCAGGAAAGCUUGUCUGGGUUCUAUACUGUGAUCUCAUUUGCCUCGACUACGAUGGAAACAUUUUGGAUGCCUGCACAUUUGCUUUGUUAGCGGCUUUAAAAAAUGUUGCCUGAAGUUACUAUAAAUGAAGAAACUGCUUUAGCAGAAGUUAAUUUAAAGAAGAAAAGUUAUUUGAAUGUUAG
rnacentral:sRNA from 1 species